rnacentral:lncRNA from 1 species
CUUCUGUUCAUGCAGGGCUGUCUGGGCUUUGAUGGCGGAGUCUCUGGCACAGUACGUGAGGAAUGCACAACCCUUGUGCAUGCCGGUGUAGCGGUCCUUGAGCACGGUGAGCUCGUAGAUCUUGCCGAACUGCUCGAAGAGCGGCUUGAGGUCCUUCUCCUCCAGGUUGCGCGGGAUCUGCCCCACGAAGAGCUUGAUGGCAUCCAGGUCCUUCAUGCUGUCGGGCUGCGCGGGGGGCUCCGCGCCGCCGCUGCUGCUCAUGGGGGAGGCUCGGCGCGGCGGCGGGGGCUGCGGCGCGGGCGGGAGCGGCGGCGGCUGCGGCUGCCUCCUCGCCUCGCCCUCGCGGAGUCUGGCCAUGCCCCGCGCCCGGCGCGGCUGCG